rnacentral:lncRNA from 1 species
UUUUUCCUUCUCCCCUGCUGCCACCACUGCAGUCAUUGUUGAUGCAGCAACCACUGCAGCCACCUCUGAUUUAUAUACUCGGGGUGAGCUCUCUCCCUCCUCAUCUGGUUGAACCCCAUUUCUAUAUGAAUCUGAACAGUCACACUCCUCCUGAGAGCCACAAGAUGAAUAGCCUUUUGCACGUGAUUGGACAUAAGAUGCUGCUGAAGCAGCAAUCCCAUAGACAGAUGAGCGUACUGCAAGCCUCUGCUCAGAGUCCUUGGUUUCCUCCAGAUCGGAUUUGGUAAGAGAAACAACAGGUAAAUGCAUGGAGUCCUGAUUGAGUUUUGCUUUAGUGGCAGCUGCCUCUGCUUUCUUUUCUAGUGAGGAUGUUACAAAUUGUAAGCCAUAAUAUCUUCUCAAAUCUUUGGCCUGCAAAUUGAUUGAUGAAGUUAGUUAAACUAGAUGCAUUUUCUAUAUGUAUCUGCUCAAGUCUUUAUUCUUUGGGGUAGGUGGAAAACUACAGAGUUUUGUGCUUUCUUUGGAGUUUGGAUCAUACAAUGAAUGAGAAGAGAGAAGAGAGAAGAGAUUUCUUACACUGACUGAUAAGUAUGUUUUGCAUGUCAUAAUUUAGCAAAUCCAAAAGUAUGCCAAAUAUCUGAAUCUCGGUUAGGCAGUAAUGUGUUACAAUUAGCUAAUCAAUGCUUGAUUUUCAUAUGCAUAUAUAGGCACAAUUUCUAAAGAAAGCGGUUUCCAGAGAAAGGUGAAUUCUCUCUAUAAAUAGCCUGAGAUUUUGACUAUGCAGUCACUGAUUAGAUUUUGUGUGAUUUCAGUAUUUUUGAAUGUAAGAAGAGUAGAUAAUGGGUCUAAUAUUAAGGUAACUCGCACCUGAUACUUAUGAAAAUAAGAGACUGACUUAUAAAAGCUUCACUUGCGGAUUUGCAGGACAUUAUGAAGAGAAGAAAGAGGCAUACCUUAAUCUCAGGUAUAACAUAAGCCAUGUUGCACAAGAAAGCCAACUUAGAGAUUGGCUUGAUAUCGGACCAUGGUACAUGAGCCAAAAAUCUUGAAAAUGUUUUGUGAUCAUAUUUCGUUUCUUCUCCUUCCUUUUCGAAGUUGUAAUCCACCACGCACCCAUCCACAUCGUCAUAACAGCUGCAGUCUCCAUUUUCUUCAACAUCACAAAGGUCAUCUACAUCUAUGUCCUCUU